UGCAAGUCGAGCGGCCGUAGCAAUACGGCAGCGGCAGACGGGAGAGUAACACGUGGGAACGCGCCCUUCGGUCCGGGAUAACCCAGGGAAACUUGGGCUAAUACCGGAUACGCCCUUACGGGGAAAGAUUUAUUGCCGAAGGAACGGCCCGCGUCCGAUUAGCUAGUUGGUGAGGUAACGGCUCACCAAGGCGACGAUCGGUAGCUGGUCUGAGAGGAUGACCAGCCUCACUGGGACUGAGACACGGCCCAGACUCCUACGGGAGGCAGCAGUGGGGAAUAUUGGACAAUGGGCGCAAGCCUGAUCCAGCCAUGCCGCGUGGGUGAUGAAGGCCCUAGGGUUGUAAAGCCCUUUCAGCGGGGAAGAUAAUGACGGUACCCGCAGAAGAAGCCCCGGCUAACUUCGUGCCAGCAGCCGCGGUAAUACGAAGGGGGCUAGCGUUGCUCGGAAUUACUGGGCGUAAAGCGCACGUAGGCGGCUUUCUAAGUCGGGGGUGAAAUCCUGGAGCUCAACUCCAGAACUGCCUUCGAUACUGGAGAGCUCGAGUCCGGGAGAGGUGAGUGGAACUGCGAGUGUAGAGGUGAAAUUCGUAGAUAUUCGCAAGAACACCAGUGGCGAAGGCGGCUCACUGGCCCGGUACUGACGCUGAGGUGCGAAAGCGU
rnacentral:rRNA from 1 species